AGGUUAAUUUAUUUUUCAUUCUUAAAAAAUGACAAGAACACCACUGUUUUUUUAAAAAAUGGGAAAAGAUGGAAUUGUAAAAAAGAAAGAAAAGAGACAUGGUGGCGCACACACUGCAAUUCUAGCCUGAACUGAGGCUGGAGGAGAUCUCAAGUUGGGGGCCAGCCUUGGCAACAUAGUGAGAACCUGCCUCAAAGUAAAAAAUAAAAAACACUGGCUAUGUGGCUCAGUGGUAGAGCACCCCUGGGUUUAAUCCCCAGGGCUGAAAAAAAUAAAUAAAAUAAAGAGCACCCAUUACUACUAUUUCUAGUCAACCAUCCCACCAGCCAAUGGAUGUUUUCUCAGAGGCUCUUAUGUGUCAAACCCUGGGCAAGAGACCCAGUUCCUCCUUCAGGCUGCCUGGGGCCUAGGCCAGGUCAGCAGUGGCAUCACCCAGGGAGAGACCAGGGCCUCUGCACCUUCUGUGGCCUCCAUCAGCCGCCCCUCACCCACCAGGGCUGCCCCCAUCUGCAUCCAAGCUGAGGCCAGAGAGCCAAACCAUCCAGAGAGCUUGCCAGCCAGGCCUUGUCCAGCGAGGCUGUGCCCAAGAACUCAGAGCAGGAAGACUUGAAGCCACAGCACAGUCCACUGCAGUCAAGCCAGGAGAGGGCUGGAGCAAGGAGGAGCAGGCUGGGCUGUGGUCCCCCAGGCAGGCAGCAGUAAGGGGCUGGUCCCCAGGGCAGCUCUCAGGAGGAGGGGAGCCUGGUUGUGAGGCCCUAGUGGGCUGGACUUUGGACUUCAUCCUGAGGCCACUGGAGGGGGUUAAACCUAGGAGUGAGCUGACCAGUCCGCUUCUAGCAAGAUCAUUCUGGAUCCCUGUGGAAUUUGGCCCAUAGUGACAAGAGCAGGGCCAGAGACCUUCAGAGACUGGCACCUGAUAAGUUAGGGCAGUUGUGAGAGUCAGGGUCAGCAUGACAGUGGGGGAGGGGAGUCUAUUUCAGAUAGGGUGGUCAGGAAAGGCCUCUCUGAGGAGGGCACUUCUUAGCUGAGGCCUAGAGGAAGUGAAGGAAUAAAGCUCUUGGGGCAGGGGAGGAGGGGAACUAUCCAAGUAAAGGGUACAGCAAGUGCAAAGACCCUGAGGCAGAUGCACAUGUGUCAGAGAAGCCAGUGUGUGAGGACUGCAGUGCGGACUGGAGAACAGAGGGAAGACCUAGCAGGGCCAUUGCGAGGGUUUAAGAAGGCAAGGCCUGAUCUUGUUUUUGUUACGGAAGGAUCACUCUGUGUGCUCUGAGAACAGACUUGGGUGGAGUGGUGGGUGGGGGGCUCAAGUCAGGGGAAAAGUAGAGGCCUGACCGUCAGUGUGGUAGGAGGUGGUCUCACUUUAUGCAGAUUGUGAAGGUGGCAUCCAGAGCAUUUGUGGAUGGACUAGAUGUGGCCUGUGAGAGGAAGCAGGGCCUGGUUGAUGGUUGCUGGUUGCCCAUUCACGUCCUCUUAUCUCCCCUGAUCUCUGGGUGUCUCCCCUCUGCCUGUGUCCUCCCUCUUCUUAUCUCCCAUUCCCUGUCCUCCCCUCCCUCUGCCUUUCCCUUCUCACUCCUCCUCUCCCUCACCCCUCUGCCCGGCCUCCCCUGCCCCAUCUCUUCUAUUUCAGGAGUCCAGUGACUUCAUGCUGUCACCUCCCGCAGGCCAGAGAUGCUGCCCUUGAGGACAGGCAGCAGCCCUGAUGACUGUGGCCAGGGCCCAGAGGCUGGGAGCUAAGGAGAAGGUAGAUGUGGCUCCCAGGACCCACCCUGGAGCGCCCGCCUCCCCUGGUGGGAAAGCCCAGUCUCCACCUGGGGCAUGUCCAUCCCUGAGCCCCAGAGGCUCAUGGGAAAUCCUGAAAGCAAAGCCCAGGGUUCUUCAAUGCCCUCAUGUAGCCCCUGCUCCACUUGGCGGGCUUUGGGGCCAGGGGCUCUCCAGGCCUCCUCCCUGCCCUAGUGGAGAAAAAAAUACACUAGCUGAGGACUGGCGUUGUAGCUCAGUUGGUGGAUCAUUUGCCUGGCUUGUGUCAGGCACUGGGUCCGAUCCUCAGCACCACAUAAAAAUGAAUAAAUUAACUAAAGGUAUUGUGUCUGUCUAC
rnacentral:lncRNA from 1 species